UUUGAUCCUGGCUCAGAUUGAACGCUGGCGGCAUGCCUUACACAUGCAAGUCGAACGGCAGCGCGGGAGCAAUCCUGGCGGCGAGUGGCGAACGGGUGAGUAAUACAUCGGAACGUGCCCAAUCGUGGGGGAUAACGCAGCGAAAGCUGUGCUAAUACCGCAUACGAUCUACGGAUGAAAGCAGGGGAUCGCAAGACCUUGCGCGAAUGGAGCGGCCGAUGGCAGAUUAGGUAGUUGGUGAGGUAAAGGCUCACCAAGCCUUCGAUCUGUAGCUGGUCUGAGAGGACGACCAGCCACACUGGGACUGAGACACGGCCCAGACUCCUACGGGAGGCAGCAGUGGGGAAUUUUGGACAAUGGGCGAAAGCCUGAUCCAGCCAUGCCGCGUGCAGGAUGAAGGCCUUCGGGUUGUAAACUGCUUUUGUACGGAACGAAACGGUCUUUUCUAAUAAAGAAGGCUAAUGACGGUACCGUAAGAAUAAGC
rnacentral:rRNA from 1 species